rnacentral:rRNA from 1 species
GGGUACACGAGCGGCGAACGGGUGAGUAACACGUGAGCAACCUGCCCCUGACUCCGGGAUAAGCGGUGGAAACGCCGUCUAAUACCGGAUAUGACCUGCCACCUCAUGGUGGCGGGUGGAAAGUUUUGUCGGUCAGGGAUGGGCUCGCGGCCUAUCAGCUUGUUGGUGGGGUAACGGCCUACCAAGGCGAUUACGGGUAGCCGGCCUGAGAGGGCGACCGGCCACACUGGGACUGAGACACGGCCCAGACUCCUGCGGGAGGCAGCAGUGGGGAAUAUUGCACAAUGGGCGAAAGCCUGAUGCAGCGACGCCGCGUGGGGGAUGACGGCCUUCGGGUUGUAAACCUCUUUUACCACCAACGCAGGCUCCACGUUUUCGUGGGGUUGACGGUAGGUGGGGAAUAAGG